AUUGCCGUGGCCGAGUGGUUAAGGCUAUAGACUUAAAAUCAUUUGGGAUUUUCCCGCGCAGGUUCGAAUCCUGCCGACAACG
rnacentral:tRNA from 1 species